rnacentral:rRNA from 1 species
UUAGGCUGCGGUGAGCUUCAACCCUCUGUGAACCAAAAAACACCUUUCGCUUCGGUUAGCAGGGCAGCCGGGUUGGGCGUGAAACCCCAAUUCGCUACCCGUCAGCCUGCCGGCAGCACCAAUUUAUAGAACUUGCAGUUAAAAUAUUGUCUGAAUACCAUAUUUUCGAAUGAAAAUUAAAACUUUCAACAACGGAUCUCUUGGUUCUCGCAUCGAUGAAGAACGCAGCGAAACGCGAUAGUUAAUGUGAAUUGCAGAAUUCAGUGAAUCAUCGAGUCUUUGAACGCACAUUGCGCCCAUUGGUAUUCCAUUGGGCAUGUCUGUUUGAGCGUCAUUACAACCCCUCAGCGCAAGCUGGUAUUGAGCAGGUCUGGCAACGGACCGGCUUUAAAGUUGUAAGCUCUGCUGGCUGCUACGCCUGACCUAAAACAUAGUAGAUUCUUGCUUGUUUAUAAGGGAUGGUUUGCAGGCUGGCCUGAACAAAACCUACAUUUUCUAUGGUUUGACCUCAGAUCAGACAAGGAUACCCGCUGAACUUAAGCAUAUCAAUAAGCGGAGGAAAAGAAACCAACAGGGAUUGCCUCAGUAACGGCGAGUGAAGCGGCAAAAGCUCAAAUUUGAAAUCUGGAGUCUUCGACUUCCGAGUUGUAAUUUGAAGAGGAUGUUUCGGUCGCGGCUUGGGCCCAAGUUCCUUGGAACAGGACGUCAUGGAGGGUGAGAAUCCCGUACGUGGCUACCGGCUUGCUUCUAUGUGAAACUCCUUCGAAGAGUCGAGUUGUUUGGGAAUGCAGCUCAAAAUGGGUGGUAAAUUUCAUCUAAAGCUAAAUAUUGGCGAGAGACCGAUAGCGCACAAGUAGAGUGAUCGAAAGAUGAAAAGCACUUUGAAAAGAGAGUUAAACAGUACGUGAAAUUGUUGAAAGGGAAGCGCUUGCAAUCAGACUCACGCUCAGUUGAUCAACGUUCCUUCUGGUUCGUGCACUCUGCUGUUUGUGGGCCAGCAUCAGUUGAAGCGGUAGGACAAAGGUUCCGGGAAUGUGGCUCCCCUCGGGGAGUGUUAUAGCCCGGUU